rnacentral:rRNA from 1 species
AGUGAACGCUGGCGGUAGGCCUAACACAUGCAAGUCGAACGGCAGCACAGUAAGAGCUUGCUCUUACGGGUGGCGAGUGGCGGACGGGUGAGGAAUACAUCGGAAUCUACUUUUUCGUGGGGGAUAACGUAGGGAAACUUACGCUAAUACCGCAUACGAUCUACGGGUGAAAGCAGGGGAUCUUCGGACCUUGCGCGAUUGAAUGAGCCGAUGUCGGAUUAGCUAGUUGGCGGGGUAAAGGCCCACCAAGGCGACGAUCCGUAGCUGGUCUGAGAGGAUGAUCAGCCACACUGGAACUGAGACACGGUCCAGACUCCUACGGGAGGCAGCAGUGGGGAAUAUUGGACAAUGGGCGCAAGCCUGAUCCAGCCAUACCGCGUGGGUGAAGAAGGCCUUCGGGUUGUAAAGCCCUUUUGUUGGGAAAGAAAAGCAGCAGGUUAAUACCCCGCUGCUCUGACGGUACCCAAAGAAUAAGCACCGGCUAACUUCGUG